GGGCGCAGCCUGAUGCAGCAACGCCGCGUGAGUGAUGAAGGCCUUCGGGUUGUAAACCUCUUUCGUCCGGGACGAUAAUGACGGGACCCGUCGAAGAAGCCCCGGCUAACUCCGUGCCAGCAG
rnacentral:rRNA from 1 species